CGUGGGCUGAUGAUCCAUGGGCAUCCGCCGAAUUGGUGACCGCCAUCACCGAUGAGGCUGAUGAUCCAUGGGCACUCUUGGAAGUGACGACCCGUGAUGACUCGUCUGAUGAGGCUGAUGAUCCAUGGGCAUCCGCCGAAUUGGUGGCCGCCAUCACCGAAGAGGCUGAUGAUGCAUGGGCAGCCUUCGAGAUGAUGACCAGUGAUGACUGGUCCGUAGAGACUGAUGCCUUCCUGGACGUCACGGCCAUCUGUGCUGUCGUUGUGUAAAUUGUCAUGCUUCACUAAGCAGCCUGGUAACACACUCACCAGUGACCCCCGGCGCAGGCGCGAGCCACAUCGUGAGCCACACUCCCGGGGAGCGAGACACCCUUCAGUGACCGUCGCUCUUAUUACACCUUCAGGGGAGGAGCUCCAGCUGUAUUUCUUAUCUUAUCAAUGAAAA